rnacentral:rRNA from 1 species
UACGGAGGGUGCGAGCGUUGUCCGGAAUCACUGGGCGUAAAGGGCGCGUAGGCGGCCUGAUAAGUAGGGGGUGAAAUCCUGCGGCUUAACCGCAGGGCUGCCUUCUAAACUGUCAGGCUGGAGCACAGUAGAGGCAGGUGGAAUUCCCGGUGUAGCGGUGGAAUGCGUAGAGAUCGGGAAGAACAUCAGUGGCGAAGGCGGCCUGCUAGGCUGUUGCUGACGCUGAGGUGCGACAGCGUGGGGAGCGAACAGG